AGAAUCAACGCUGGCGGCGUGCCUAACACAUGCAAGUCGAACGCGAAAGUGGAGCAAUCCAUUAGUAGAGUGGCAAACGGGUGAGUAACACGUGGGCGACCUACCUCAGAGUGGGGGAUAACCUUCCGAAAGGAGGGCUAAUACCGCAUGACAUCCCGUGUUUGGAUACACGGAGAUCAAAGCCGGGGAUCGCAAGACCUGGCGCUUGGAGAGGGGCCCGCGUCCGAUUAGCUAGUUGGUGAGGUAACGGCUCACCAAGGCUCCGAUCGGUA
rnacentral:rRNA from 1 species